rnacentral:lncRNA from 1 species
UUCAUCGCAGGAAUCCCCUGGCGGACGAGCACACAGCUCCCCUGGGAGAAUGGCGUCGGUUGAGGGUAUCUGUCGUACUUCUGCUUUCUUCUCGGGCUUGCUCGGGCAAGCCUUUGUCGGGCAGAUCUUGGUCGGGCAAGACACACUUCGGGCAAGGCUCGUCGGGCAGUUCUGAAAGAGAAUGACAGAGUUAAUUUGAAAGGGUGCCUUUGUGGGGCCUUAGGUGUAGGCCUUAAGGCUCACAAUCAAGAUCAACUUUGUCGUGCUCAGGCGUGCCACUGCCAUCUUCAGUAUGGCAGAUGUUGAAUGGGUGUUAAGCUUUGAUUGAAUAUGUAUACGCCCGAGAAACCAAGUUAGAUAUAACAGGUGCCUUUGUA